GAUGAACGCUGGCGGCGUGCCUAAUACAUGCAAGUCGAGCGAACAGACGAGGAGCUUGCUCCUCUGACGUUAGCGGCGGACGGGUGAGUAACACGUGGAUAACCUACCUAUAAGACUGGGAUAACUUCGGGAAACCGGAGCUAAUACCGGAUAAUAUAUUGAACCGCAUGGUUCAAUAGUGAAAGACGGUUUUGCUGUCACUUAUAGAUGGAUCCGCGCCGCAUUAGCUAGUUGGUAAGGUAACGGCUUACCAAGGCAACGAUGCGUAGCCGACCUGAGAGGGUGAUCGGCCACACUGGAACUGAGACACGGUCCAGAAUCCUAAGGGAGGCAGCAGUAGGGAAUCUUACGCAAUGGGCGAAAGCCUGACGGAGCAACGCCGCGUGAGUGAUGAAGGUCUUCGGAUCGUAAAACUCUGUUAUUAGGGAAGAACAAAUGUGUAAGUAACUAUGCACGUCUUGACGGUACCUAAUCAGAAAGCCACGGCUAACUACGUG
rnacentral:rRNA from 1 species